rnacentral:rRNA from 1 species
GAUGAACGCUGGCGGCGUGCCUAAUACAUGCAAGUCGAGCGAACAGACGAGGAGCUUGCUCCUCUGACGUUAGCGGCGGACGGGUGAGUAACACGUGGAUAACCUACCUAUAAGACUGGGAUAACUUCGGGAAACCGGAGCUAAUGCCGGAUAAUAUAUUGAACCGCAUGGUUCAAUAGUGAAAGACGGUUUUGCUGUCACUUAUAGAUGGAUCCGCGCCGCAUUAGCUAGUUGGUAAGGUAACGGCUUACCAAGGCAACGAUGCGUAGCCGACCUGAGAGGGUGAUCGGCCACACUGGAACUGAGACACGGUCCAGACUCCUACGGGAGGCAGCAGUAGGGAAUCUUCCGCAAUGGGCAAAAGCCUGACGGAGCAACGCCGCGUGAGUGAUGAAGGUCUUCGGAUCGUAAAACUCUGUUAUUAGGGAAGAACAAAUGUGUAAGUAACUAUGCACGUCUUGACGGUACCUAAUCAGAAAGCCACGGCUAACUACGUG